rnacentral:rRNA from 1 species
CUUAGUUAAUUCUGCUAGUAGUUAUAUAUUUAUCUUAAAGAUUAAGUUAUAUAUAUCUAAGUAUAAGUAAUUAUAUAGCGAAACUGUAAAUAGCUUAUUAUAUAAGUUAUUAUUUAUUUAAUAGUAUCUUACUACUUAGAUAACUAUAGUAAUUUUAGAGCUAAUAUAUACUAAAAAUCCUAACUUUAAAAAAGAUAUAUUUAUUAGAUUAAAAACUAAUGCCCUUUGGGGCUUACUGGUGAUUUAUAAUAACUUCUUAAAUUGUAUAGCUUUAUGCUAGUAAUAGUUUAUUUAAAUUUCUUCCCUAUUAACUUUUAAUACUAGAGUAGUAUUUUAGUAUAGUUAUAAUAGGUAAUGGAGGGUUAGGGCUUAACUCCAGAGAAGGAGCCUGAGAAAUAGCUACUAUAUCUAAAGAAGGCAGUAGGCACACAAAUUACCUAAUCCCAACACAAAGAAGUAGUAACGAUAAAUACUAAUAUAGAGCUUUUUUGGGUCUUGUAAUUAGAAUAAGUAUAAUUUAAAUUCCUUAAUAAGGAAUAAUUAGAGGGUAAGUCUAAUACUAGUAGUUAUAGUAAUUCUAGUUCUAAUAGUAUAUAUUAAAGUUAGUAUGGUUAAAAAGUUUGUAGUAGAAUUUUGGGUUUAGUUAGCUAGUCUGCCUCACUAUAUGUAUUAGUCCAGCUGGACCUUUCCCUCUAUGGAACUAUAUACUCUUCAUUAAGUAUACCGGAAAAACAGGACUUUUACUUUAAAAAAAUUAGAAUGCUCCAGACAGACUUAUACUUAAAUAUAUUAAUAUAGAAUAAUAGAAUAGGAUAUAUAAUUCUAUUUUAUUAGUUUCUAGGACUAUUAUAAUAAUUAAUAGGGACAGUCGGAAGUAUUAGUAUUUAAUUAUUAGAGGUGAAAUUUUUGGAUUUAUUGAAGACUAACUAUUAUGAAAGUAUUUACUAAAGAUAUUUUUAUUUAUUAGGAACGAAAGUUAGGAGAUUAAAAAUAAUUAGAUAUUAUUAUAAUCUUAACUAUAAACUAUACUAACUAGGGAUCGGACAAUGUUAUUUUUUAACUCGUUUGGCACCUUACGAGAAAUUAAAGUACUUAAGCUCUAGGGGGAGUAUGGUCGUAAGGCUGAAACUUAAAGAAAUUGACAGAAGGGUACCACUAGGGGUAAAUAGUAGCUAUUUAAGCUUUACCCCAGAUAGUAAGCCUAUAAAGGAUCUAGUAGCUAGCUUUAAAUUACUAGUUACUCCAGUAGUGGCAAUAUCCCCUAAUUACGGGAAACCCUCAGAGGGUAGCAUUCCUAAGUAGCGCUCGAAAGAGACACUAUAGUAGUAGUAUAACGGCCGCCAGUAUGGAGAUAAUAUGCUGCUUAUGAGGCGACUUGCAGCUAAGCUUCUAACUACAGGGAAGGUUUAGAGACUUAAUAGGGAUAAGUAAUACUUCCGGACGCUGCCUAAGAUAGAGUCUAUACUUACUUGAGAGAGUGGGGACUAACUAGUAUAUUACCUGAAAAGGGAGCCUGCAGCUUAAUUUAACUUAAUAUAGGGAAACUCACUAGGUUUAGACAUAAUGAGGAUUAACAGAUUGAGAGCUUUUUCUUAAUUUUAUAGGUAGUAAUGUAUAACUAUUCUUAGUUAGUAAAGUAAUUUAUCUAUUUAAUUAUAAUAAUAAACGAGACUUUAACUUACUAAAUAGCCUAUAUUACUUUAGUAGUAUACUAGUUUCUUAGAGGGACUAUCAGCUUAAGUUGAUAGAAGUUUGAAGUAAUAAUAGGUUAACCUUUACAGA